rnacentral:rRNA from 1 species
UACGGGGGGGGCAAGCGUUGUUCGGAAUUACUGGGCGUAAAGGGCUCGUAGGUGGCCAACUAAGUCAGACGUGAAAUCCCUCGGCUUAACCGGGGAACUGCGUCUGAUACUGGAUGGCUGGAGUAUGGGAGAGGGAUGCGGAAUUCCAGGUGUAGCGGUGAAAUGCGUAGAUAUCUGGAGGAACACCGGUGGCGAAGGCGGCAUCCUGGACCAUUACUGACACUGAGGAGCGAGAGCCAGGGGAGCAAACGGG